GAUGAAGAACGUAGCGAAUUGCGAUAUGUAAUGUGAAUUGCAGAAUUCAGUGAAUCAUCGAAUCUUUGAACGCACAUUGCGCCCCCUGGUAUUCCGGGGGGCAUGCCUGUCCGAGCGUCAUUACAACCCUCAAGCUCAGCUUGGUAUUGGGCCCCGCCGACCCGGCGGGCCCUAAAGUCAGUGGCGGUGCCGUCCGGCUCCGAGCGUAGUAAUUCUUCUCGCUCUGGAGGUCCGGUCGUGUGCUCGCCAGCAACCCCCAAUUUUUUUCAGGUUGACCUCGGAUCAGGUAGGGAUACCCGCUGAACUUAAGCAUAUCAAUAAGCGGAGGA
rnacentral:misc_RNA from 1 species